UUACUUUAACAUGAACUAAUGCUGAGUUACAGCAUAUCAUAUAUUGAAGAGUCAUCAUUAACUACAACAUGACAUGUUUUUCAUUGUUAGUUAAUGCAGUCAUUUACAAUAAAUUAAUUUGAGUUCAUGUUGUAGUUAAGUAAGUUCAGUAAGUUACAUGUCUUAACUCAGCAUUAGUUUAUAUUUACUUAUAUUUAAGUAAGAAUUAAUUUAGGUAUACGUUCAAUGUUUCCAAUGAUGAGCAGUUAAUCCACUAAACCCAGAGAUAAUUCCUGAGGCAUGUUUAAAGAGUUUUGUAUUUCAUCAAGAAGGUGCUGAUUCACAAAGAUUUUAAAUUUAAGAAAAUCUGAGCAUCAUUCCAAAUAACUGUUAACAUGUUUGUCAACUAAACAUGUUUUGUAAACGUAAUAAACUUUAUAAAAAUAUUUUUUAUUUUGUAUUAAUAAUCAAGUAUAAAGAACAAUGCAUAGUGUGAAAAUGCGGAUUAUAAAAAAGUAUAUUAAAGAAAAGGACUACAUUUCCCAGAAUGCACCUGCACCCACUCAUCUGACUGCCCCCACCCUUCAGGUGCGACUGCUCAACCUAUGGGCUUGACGGAAAAUUCAAAUCGCGAACCGUUACUGCCUGGACUACUCCGUCUCUUAUUAGUUUGUUUGCUCAUUAACAGUAAGAGGUCAUGUACACUGUGGUCAACUUUGUGGACGAUGAAGAGGUUUCUGGGUAAAGAUGAUAGAAAUAUAAUGAAGUAACAGUGAAAGCUAAAACAUCAGACUGAUCCAGACACUGAAGAAAUUGAUGUCACUGCAAUCUGGCCAAAAUGAUACAACAAUAUUGAAGUAGCCUACUGUAAUGAAGCUGCAGAACAACACAGAGACUCUUGAGGACAUCAACACAGAAAAUGAAGGCUCCAAAGAGAUGUCUGUCCAGAUGAGGGUGCAUCAAUGUUACGUUUGCUGACAAGUAUAUGCUUUACAAUGUAAAACCUAACAGUUAACUUAACUCAAACCAUUUAAGGAAAUCGGUUGCCUUAACCCAUU